rnacentral:rRNA from 1 species
GACGAACGCUGGCGGCGUGCUUAACACAUGCAAGUCGAACGGUGAAACGCCUUCCUUUUUGGUGGGUGUGGAUGAGUGGCGAACGGGUGAGUAACACGUGAGUAACCUGCCCCCUUCUUCUGGAUAACCGCAUGAAAGUGUGGCUAAUACGGGAUAUUCUGGGUCUGUCGCAUGAUGGGUCUGGGAAAGAUAUUGUUUCGGUGGGGGAUGGGCUCGCGGCCUAUCAGCUUGUUGGUGGGGUGAUGGCCUACCAAGGCGGUGACGGGUAGCCGGCCUGAGAGGGUGGACGGUCACACUGGGACUGAGACACGGCCCAGACUCCUACGGGAGGCAGCAGUGGGGAAUAUUGCACAAUGGGCGCAAGCCUGAUGCAGCGACGCCGCGUGAGGGAUGGAGGCCUUCGGGUUGUGAACCUCUUUCGCCAGUGAAGCAGGCCUGCCUCGUUUGUGGGUGGGUUGACGGUAGCUGGAUAAGAAGCGCCGGCUAACUACGUG